GAUGAACGCUGGCGGCGUGCCUAAUACAUGCAAGUCGAGCGAACGGACGAGAAGCUUGCUUCUCUUAUGUUAGCGGCGGACGGGUGAGUAACACGUGGAUAACCUACCUAUAAGACUGGGAUAACUUCGGGAAACCGGAGCUAAUACCGGAUAAUAUUUUGAACCGCAUGGUUCAAAAGUGAAAGACGGUCUUGCUGUCACUUAUAGAUGGAUCCGAGCUGCAUUAGCUAGUUGGUAAGGUAACGGCUUACCAAGGCAACGAUGCAUAGCCGACCUGAGAGGAUGAUCGGCCACACUGGAACUGAGACACGGUCCAGACUCCUACGGGAGGCAGCAGUAGGGAAUCUUCCGCAAUGGGCGAAAGCCUGACGGAGCAACGCCGCGUGAGUGAUGAAGGUCUUCGGAUCGUAAAACUCUGUUAUUAGGGAAGAACAUAUGUGUAAGUAACUGUGCACAUCUUGACGUUACCUAAUCAGAAAGCCACGGCUAACUACGUG
rnacentral:rRNA from 1 species